rnacentral:lncRNA from 1 species
CUAGGACGUUCAUGUGCAAACAGCUCAAAGUGACGAGGGCGCAUCAUUCGCAAAUGCAAAUAUUGCAGAGAAAACACUCGAAGAAAUUUUAAGGGGAUCGGUUAGUGGAAGUAAAGUUUUGAAGUACUACAGUAAGACAAAAGUUCUUACGCCAAAAUACAGAAAAUUGCUUGCAGCAACAAUCGCAAACUAUUUGAUUUCGUCCGGAGUAAACUCGAGCCCAAAAACAUUUGAAUCGUUCGCCAGCCAGAUAUCGAAUUUCUUUUUAAGUGAGUCGAAGGACAUACAUUACAUACAUAAAAAGGGGAAAAACCAGGCGGAUGUUUAUACACUAAAUACCACAGCACUUUAUUCAAAUGUAGGCAUUAUAAAUAAAAAGCCCGCCGAAGAGAAGCCGCAAAAAGCAGCACAUAGCAAUUUAUGUACGACAGGUAAAGAUCUACUUUACAAACAGUGAGCGUCAAAAAUAAGUAAAAAUUUUCCUUAUUUUUUUAUAAAAGUAUAGUUUAUUCACAGCAAAAACCACAUGAAUAAAUUUAUUAAUUUCAUACAGAACUCGGGGAAAAUGAAGGAAAUUUUGAUUAAAAUUUUAAACUUUCCGCAGAAAAAUUGUUCUAAGAAAUCAAUUUGAAAAGUUGGUGCGUUUAUAAAUUAUUUUUAUAGACUACUCUCAAGAAAAAUCGUGCCUUAAGUAUAACGUCGAGCCUUUUGAUGAAGUGCAAAUCAAAUGGGAAUUGACUUUUGAAGUCAGGUGCCAAAUGCUGCAAGAUCAUUCAAAUCUAAAUAAAAUUUUAGAAGAAUGGCCACUAUAUAAGCAGAUUUUUGGACAUUUAUUGAUUGAGACGGACUUUAACAAAUUGUACCCAGAGAAGAAAAAUUUAUUAUUCGAAAAUUGGGAAAAUUUCAGCCAAGCAGUACGCCAUAUUUUUGAGAUUUAUAUUAAAUUAUUAUUAUUCACACAGUUUGACAACCUGGAAGCAAUUUAAGGAAGGAACGAUUAAAGCUGGUUUUUAAAUUUUAUAAUAAUCUAAAUUAUUUAUUGAUGAAUUUUUGAAUUUUGGAAGGUACGGAUGCGGUCACAUGCUAUCUUCUACAUUCUGGUUUAGUUCCAACCAGCCGAGAAUACAAAACGUGCAAGCAAACAAAAAAGAAACAUUUGGUCAAAGCCACUAUUGAAGAUUCCAGAAACAGUUUUUUAAUAUGGGCAACAACUAAUUGUGAACUUCAAUCAAAACUGAAAUUAAUGGUUGAUGAGAAUUAUAAGGGCAAAAGCACCAUUCAGCCCAUCAUAUGUGCUAUUGGAAUGAGCUUGCUUGAGAGCAACGAAUAUUUCGUGUACUUCGCCAACAUAUUUUAUAAGUUCGAUAAUGUUAUCAAAUGUAUUGAUGUGUGUUUUAAGAUAUUCCACGUACUUAAUCUUAAAUAUCCUUCCGAAUGCAAAUCUAUUUGGUUUUUUGUCCAGCAAUACUUUUAUGACAUUGCUUUGAAAUCACACGAGAAAAGUACCUCAUUGUGUGCAAUAUUAAGUGAUUUAAGACAAUUUAAAUGUUUUAAUAAUAACUAGAAAUGGAAGGAAAAAUUAAAUGUUUUGUGUGCACACAAUCUUUUGAACAAUGCGAUCGUUUAUUUAAACAUUUCAAAAUUAUUCACUGUUUAUCACAAUACGAUAUGUACAAAUGUGGAUUUACAGCUUGUAACCAAUCAUUUACGAAUUUUAAAUCACUUUGUAGGCACAUGCGAAUUGAACGCAAAAGAUAUGAAAUUACUUUAUUAAGCAAUCAGAAUGUAAAAGACGAAUGUUUAUCUAAUACUACUUCAAUGGUACCUAAUACUAUAAUAACAGAUACUGGUAAUCAAAGUACAAAUACUUUAAGUAACAUAACAAGUUUAAAUGUAAAUGAAGAAACUUUAAAAGAAGGUUGCAUUAAAUUGUCCUAGAAAAGAAACCGUUGAGUUGCAAAGAGAUGUUACAAACAUGAUUUUGUGUCCAUUAAAAAACCAUUUAAAACAAAUAUUGCAAAAUUUCGAUUCGCUAGGAAAAAACGAUAUUAAAGCUGAUAUUGAAAAUUUAGUAAAUAUUUGUAGCGAUCCAUUUAAAGACUUUAACUCAGAGUAUAAGUUUAUUAAAACUCUUAAAGAACUAAGUUUAUACGAAAAUCCACAAGUCAUCACCAUAAAUAAUUCAAUAAGUAACUUGCAAACUAGACAUGUAAACAAAUUAAAUUCAGCAUUAGUAAGGGGUGUGUUAUUUCCAAUUAAAUUUCAAAUAAAAAAAUUUUUUGAAUUGCCAGGCAUGUACGAAAAUUUUUCUAAAAGUCUUGAAUACUUAACCACCAAUAACGAAGUUUUAAAAAAUUUUGUAAAUGGCGAUAUUUGGCAAAAAAAAUUCAAAAUUAUAAAAACAAGUUAGUUAUUCCAUAUUUUCUAUACUUCGAUGACUUCGAAGUUAACAAUCCCUUAGGUUCACAUAGUUCAUCAGUUUUAGCAGUAUAUUAUUCCUUCCCCACCGCGCCAAUUUCUGUUAAACAUGAACUUCAAAGUAUUUUGAUAGCCGCUCUUUUUAAAUCACAAGAUGUUAAAUAAUUCGGUAAUGAUAAAUCAUUUUAUAAGUUAGUAGAAAUACUAAAUGAUUUAGAAAAUAAUGGUAUUGAAAUUAAAACACCAAACGGCAAUAAAAUAAUUUAUUUAUGUUUAGGUUUGAUAAUUGGAGAUAAUUUAACGCUUAACAAUAUUCUUGGAUUUUCUCGUUCAUUUUCUUCUAACCAUUAUUGUCGAUUUUGUAAAAUAAAUAAAACCGAUGCCAAAUUCGCUUUUAUUGAAGAUAAUAGCCAAUUAAGAGAUCAACAAAACUACGCUUACGAUAUUUCUUUGAACGAUUUCGAAAAUACUGGCAUAAGAGAGUUUUCCAUUUUUAUUAAUAGCCGUCAUCGAUUCGCCAUCAGUUAGCGAGUGGCGAAACGAACGAACUUAAUGAGGU